rfam:Actinobacteria bacterium BACL15 MAG-120619-bin91 contig00186_1_120619-bin91, whole genome shotgun sequence.
GAUGGUCCUCGGUAGUGGUUUCCGCGCAAUAUAUCUUUUUAAGGAAUUAGAGCGCGUGAACUUCGAUCGAAGACUCUU